CCCACUCUCGAAGGCGUCUGUCCAAUUGAGUUCGCCGCUCUCUUUGCUGUUGGACGGGUGUUUGUCAGUUAGACUCGGUGAAUCCGCGAACUUUUUGCGGUCUGUGAAUGUGACAGAUUUAUCGUGUUUAUAAUAAAAGCUAUAUUUUUGUGCGUACGUGACGAUUGUUGGAUAAAUCGUGGUGUUAACCCGUGUACUGUGAGUGUGUUGUGGUCACAGGUGUCGCAUUCCGGGAAGGACGCUAGCCAGCCUCCGUACCCCGUAUAAAAGCAGGUGGUCCGCUAGAUAUCCUUUUUAUACAAAGAUGGCGGCGCGAUUAUGAGAUCUACAACAAACGACUUUUAGAUGACCACGAAUAGAUGAUCCGAGGAAUGCGAACACAUCGACCAUAUAAUUAUUGCGUGAGUAUUUUACCAUGAUUCUAGUUUAAGCUUCGACAGCGAAGGGAGUUUAAGACGGUCAUGCACCUGGUAACAAGAUUGAAAAU